AUUUCUUUUCUCUUGCCCAACUUCUCCACUUUUACCUAAUAAAGCUCACAUUACUCCGCACUUACUGAAAGCCAUAAUUUAACCUUUUUAGACUUUAAAACCUGCUAAACCAACUGCCGGAUUUCCAUUCGACUAACCGUCUAAAUCCUUUAUUAUUGAUAAAUCCCAAACCUUAUCAAAUCUCCUCCAAAUAUUCCCAACUAUACUUCAUUAAACUCCUCUCAUUAAAAUAAACCCAAAAUCAUGAAAAACUGCCCCUAAGGGGCGGCGGCGGCCGGCAGCCGGAUUCCGGCGAGGGCCAAUGCUUCCCAAAUUUUCAUAGAAUAUUCCUCUCAUCAUGCUCAACAACAUUCAUAACUAGCACUUAGUCCAUUUCUAAAGCUAACUAGGGCAAACGAAUCAAACUUCCAUAAAUCCCUAAAAACUUCAAUUAUACAUUUCUCCGUAACAACAACGAAAUAGACUAAUUCUUUUUGAGGGAAUACUCACCUUGAUGAGGGUUACAAGAUGAGCCAAAGAUUCCAACCUAUGGUGGCCGGAGGUGGGAUUUCCGGCAAAAAGCUUCUCGGCGUCUCCGGCGAGUUUUCUCCUCUUCCGGCGGGCUAACGGCUCGGGGGCUAGGCCGGGGAGAGAGAGGAGGUGAUGGGGGUCAAAACUGGGGUGGGCUGGCAGCUGGUGGCUGGCCACAGCUGGCCCAGCAAUAAUACCCAACUGAAAAUUACACCCACUAAAUUUUUUUACCCCAUUUUUACCAUCUCAAAAAUUCCUCUUUUAAAUCAUAACUUUUUCAUGCUAACUCCGAUUUUAACACAUAGCAUGUCUACGAACUCGUAAAAACGUCCUCUACGACUUUCAUGAAGAAAGUUUUCCCAAAUUCCAAACGCAAGAAAAAGUCAACUCUAGGGUCCUUAAGUGAUAAACGGUGACUUAACAUGGUAAAAGACCAAAAUAAUACCAAAGUAAAUAACCGUAAAAUAACUUAAGAACCGGGGUGUGACAAUUCUCCCCUCCUUAUAAAAAAUUUCAUCCUCGAAAUUUACAUACCUGUCAAUCAAAGAGAUAAGGAUAUUGCUGCCUCAUUUGCUCUUUCGGUUCCCAAGUGGCUUCCUCUAUUUGAUGACUCCUCCACAACACUUUAACCAAUGGAAUUGUUUUGCUC
rnacentral:lncRNA from 1 species